rnacentral:rRNA from 1 species
UACGGGGGGUGCGAGCGUUGUCCGGAAUCACUGGGCGUAAAGGGCGCGUAGGCGGACAGUUUAGUCAGAGGUGAAAGCCCAGGGCUCAACCUUGGAAUUGCCUUUGAUACUGGCUGUCUUGAGUUCGGGAGAGGUGAGUGGAAUGCCGAGUGUAGAGGUGAAAUUCGUAGAUAUUCGGCGGAACACCAGUGGCGAAGGCGACUCACUGGCCCGAUACUGACGCUGAGGCGCGAAAGCGUGGGAGCAACAGGG